CUAAAUAGUUCUAUAACAAAACAAUUCGCCAGAGAACUACUAGCAACAGCUUAAAACUCAAAGGACUUGGCGGUGCUUUAUAUCCCUCUAGAGGAGCCUGUUCUAUAAUCGAUAAACCCCGAUAAACCUCACCAUCCCUUGCUAAUACAGUCUAUAUACCGCCACUUCAGCAAACAGAUG
rnacentral:rRNA from 1 species